GACGAACCGUGCGAACGUUAUUCGGAAUCACUGGGCUUAAAAGCGCGUGUAGGCGCCCCGGCACGUCCGUCGCUGAAAUCCCCCGGCUCAACCGGGGAAGUGGCGUGGGAGUACGACCGGGCUGGAGGGGGGUAGGGGGAGCCGGAACUUCCGGUGGAGCGGUGAAAUGCGUUGAGAUCGGAAGGAACGCCCGUGGCGAAAGCGGGCUCCUGGACCCCACCUGACGCGUGAGACGGCGAAAGCCCAGGGGAGCGAACGGG
rnacentral:rRNA from 1 species